rnacentral:rRNA from 1 species
CCCUUAGAUGUUCUGGGCCGCACGCGCGCUACAAUGAUUGUCUCAGCAUGUUUUGGGUGUGUAAAUACCCAGGAAUCCCGAGUAACAAUCGUGAUGGGGCUAGACCCUUGCAAUUUUUGGUCUCCAACGAGGAAUUCCUAGUAAAGGCAGGUCAUUAACCUGCCUUGAUUACGUCCCUGCCCCUUGUACACACCGCCCGUCGCACCUACCGAUUGAAUGGUCCGGUGAAAUCUCCAGACGUGGGUUUACCAUGAAAGCUGAUUGAACCUUAUCAUUUAGAGGAAGGUGAAGUCGUAACA